UACGUAGGGUGCGAGCGUUGUCCGGAAUUAUUGGGCGUAAAGGGCUCGUAGGCGGUUUGUCACGUCAGGAGUGAAAACUCGGGGCUCAACCCCGAGCCUGCUUCUGAUACGGGCAGACUAGAGGUAUGCAGGGGAGAACGGAAUUCCUGGUGUAGCGGUGAAAUGCGCAGAUAUCAGGAGGAACACCGGUGGCGAAGGCGGUUCUCUGGGCAUUACCUGACGCUGAGGAGCGAAAGCGUGGGGAGCAAACAGG
rnacentral:rRNA from 1 species